GUUCUUUGUAACAGAAGCUGCAAAUUUUUUUAUUUUCUUUUUUUUUCAGAUUUUAUUUUUCCUUUUUCUCCCCAAACCCUCCAGUACAUAGUUGUGUAUUUUUAGUUGUGAGUCCUUCUAGUUGUGGCAUGUGGGAUGCCGCCUCAGCAUAGCCUGAUGAGCAGUACCAUGUCCGCACCCAAGAUUCGAUUGUUUUCCUUUUUGUAAUUUGUCUUUUGACUUUGUUCUGGUGUUUUUUAACAUGUAGAAAUUAGCAUUUUAAUGCAAUCAAAUUUAUGAAUCUUUGCUUUUGUGGCUUUGGGAUUUUGUGUCAUUCAUAUUUCGAAUGGUCUUCCCCCUUCUUUUAGAGUUUUAUUUUUCACCCUUAGAUGUUGGACCCAUCUGGAAUGUUUUGCAUAUUAGAUAUCUAACUUUCGUUUGUUUGAGGAAGAUUAGCCCUGAGCUAACAUCUGCUGCCAAUCCUCUUUUUGCUGAGGAAGAUUGGCCUUGAGCUAACAUCUGUGCCCAUCUUUCUCUACUUUAUAUGUGGGACACCUGUCACAGCACAGCUUGACAAGCAGUACAUAGGUCCACACCUGAGAUCCAAACCGGCAAACCCCAAACUGCCAAAGUGGAAUGUGCAAAUGUAACUGCUGCGCUGCCACUGGGCUGGCCCCUAGUUUGUUUUUUUAAGAUGGCUACCCAAUUGACCUUUUAUUGAGUAAACUAACAUUUGUCCCAUUGGUUAGAAAUGCUACUUCAUUAUAUAACAUCUUUUAUUGAAUAAAUUAUCUUUUCCUCUAUUGAUCUGAAUUGCCAUUUUUUAUCAUAUACCAAAGUCUCAUUUACAUUUGGGUCCUUUGUAAACAUUUUUUAUUUUGUUUUGGACCAUUUCUAUUUUGUUUAUUAACGUGGUAGUCAAUAUCUGCUCAGACUAGCCCCUGUGCAACAGUUAUCUUUUUCAGAAUUGUUAGCUACUCUUGCUAACUUAUUUUUUCCAUACAAACUUAGAAUAAGUUUGUCUAGUUCCAAAAAUGAAAAAUAGUGUUAGUCUUUUUAUGAAAUCCUAUUAAAUUUAUAGCCUAAUUUAGGGAGAAUUGAAUUCUUUAUGAUAUUCAGUUAUUCUAAAGAAUAUAAUACACUUUUCCCUUUCUUCGUCUUUUUAUAUCUCCCAGUAGUAUAUGAAGUUUUCUUUAUAUAGAUCAGUUUCUUCAUAGAGAUUUUUAGAAAGUAGGGACCUUUAAAAAAAUACCACGUAGGCCCCACCCCACAACAACUGAAUCAGAAUUCUAAGGAUAGCACCUGGCACUGUUCUGUACUUACUGUUGUUUUGUUUCUUAAGCCCUCCAGGUGAUGAUUCUAAUGUGUAGCCAGAAGUGAGUUUAUUCCUAGUUGUUCUAUCAAUUGUUGGUGGUGUGUUAUUUUAAGUGGAUGUUUCUUCCACUGUAUCUUCCAACUGGGUUUUUAUAUAUGCAACUCUAUUUCUAUAUAUUUAUUUUGUAGAAAUAAUACAAUAUUUCUUGGUAUCAAUAGUUUUUCUAUUGGUAUCUUAUGUUUUUCAGGUACAAUGCUUAGCAGCAAAUAAUUUUACCUAUCUUCCUUUCUCAAACUGUCUUUGAAGUUUUCUUCAUAAGCCAAUUCACCUCCUUUGUUUGUUUAUUGUUCUUCAGUGAAUUUGUAUGAGCUUAUCUUUAUAGUUAUGUAUGAAUUACUGAGAAAUAAAUUUCACUUCAGAUAUAUUCUGAAGUAAAACCCUUCAGAGAAAGAUCGCAACAUUAGAUUAUUAAGUUUAAAAUUAAAAUAUUCAAAUCUACCUCCUAUCUCCUAAUUAAACCUUAAGAACAUAAAAUAGCUAAUGUGUGGGUAUAUAUGCUAAUUAUAACCAAAAAAUAAAGCAAUAAUAAUAGAAACGUGGCUCUGAAAACAUAGGCAUGUGAAGAUAAAUAUAAUCCACCUCAUUCUACCCAAACCCUUUAAGAUGCAUUUACUGUUAGAAUUUACGAAGCAUCACAAUGUUUUAAGCAUAUUAGAUAUAGGAUCAUAACUAGGUACAAUUGAGUUUUUAGGAAAAUAUCUAAUUCAAAAUGGUACCUAACAACCAUGAAAACAGAAAAAGAAGAAAAAUUUGCAAAACCAAGACAAAUUAUUGAAUGCCAGAAUCUGAAAGGAAUUACAGACUGGACUGAGGACAAUCUUUGGGCUUCUUUUUUUACCACCCCCCUAUUCCAAUCUACCAUAAUCUGUUAUUUGGAAUUUUGCAAUAGCUUCCUAAGAGGGCUCCGUGAGUCUGCUUUUGGCUUUCUUCAGUCUGUUCUUAACACUGAAGCCAGAGUGAUUUUGUUAAGAUAGAUCAGAUCACAUCACUGGCUACUCAAAAUCCCCCACUGGUUUCCCAUCUUUCUCCAUAAAAACCAAAGUCACUACAGUGGCCUAUGAGGCCCUACAGGCCACAUGUUCUCUCUCAGACCAAAUGUCCUCCCAUACCGGCACUUUGUUCACCCUGCUCCACCCACACUGGCUUCUCUGUCAUUUUCCAGGCACACCAGGCAUGUACCACUUCAGGAGCCUUGUGCUUGUCAAUUCUUUCUGCCUGGAAUGUGGUCCCUCCCUCAGAUUUCCAAUGUGGCUCACUUUGUUACCUCCUUCAAGUCAUCGCUCAAAUGCUACCUUCUCACAAGGGCUUCCUUGCUUUAUUUUUCUCCAUAGAAAUCAUUACCAUCCAAUUUAGUGUAUGUUUCACAGAUUUAAUUUGCUUAUACUGUCUCCACCCCUCCGACCCCACUAGGAUGAAAGCUCCAUACAGGCGUGGCCUUUUGUCCUUUUUGUUUCCUAGAGUAUCUCAAGUGUCUGACACAUAGUAAAAGCUUAGUAAAUACUGAUUGAAUUAAUUUGCUGGGAAUUUGAGGUUUUCAGAUAUCACAUUGGAUUAGAAAACCAACACAUUAGGCCAUGGCAGGGCAGGGGGUGAAAGGGAGUAGCCUUCUCAAUAAAGCAGAACCUUCUAGAAACAGUGAGUUCUAGCAAAAUCCUGCAGGGGAGAGUUGACAGAGGAACUCUAUCCCUCUUUGUUUUUUCUUUUUCUAUGAAAAAGGCCAGAUACUAAAUAUUUUAAGCUUUGUGAGCCAUAUGGUCUCUUUCACAACUACUCAAUUCUGCCUUAGAAGCAUGAAAGCAGCAACAGACAACUCGUAAACAAAUGAGCAUGGGUGUGAUCCAGUGAAACUACAAAAACAGGAUUUGACUUGUGGGCCAUCGUUUGCUAACUGCUAGUCUAGAACAAUGGUUCACAACUUUACUGAAAAUUGGAAUCACCUCAGGAUGUUUAAAAAUAUUAAUGCCUGGCUCCCACCUCCAAGCAUCAAGAAUUUUGUUGUCGUUGUUUUGUUUUGGGGUUUUUUUGAUGUUUUGUUUUGUUUUUUGAGGAAGAUUAGCCCUGAGCUAACAUCUGCUGCCAAUUCUCCUCUUUUUGCUGAGGAAGACUGGCCCUGAGCUACCAUCCGUGCCCAUCUUCCUCUCUUUUAUAUGUGGGACGCCUACCACAGCAUGGCUUGCCAAGUGGUGCCACGUCCGCACCCGGGAUCCAAACCGGCGAACCCCGGGCCGCCAAAGUGGAACAUGCGAACUUAACUGCUGUGCCACCAGCCUGACCCCCAAGCAUCAAGCGUUUUAAAAGCUUCUCAGCUAAUCAGAGAGCCAGGGCUGCAAGGCAACAGGUGAACAGAAUUCACAAGUGUGGCCCCUCUAAGGAGAGGUGAGACACCCAAACUGUGUCAUCUUUGACAGAACAUGGGAGGAAAAACUAGCAGCCAAAAGAGUAGAUCUCAAGCAUCACUCAUGAGAAACAGGGAGCUGGGCAGGAGACUGCAUGGAGCCCCUUCAGCGAGACAGUGUACAGAUGGGGAGUGGCUGCCUGUGGAGGACAAGCAUAAAACCCAGAACAUUUUCUCAUGCAAAGAAAAACUCAUCUCCCGCUAGGGCAGGAGCUGGAAAUUCUCUCACCUCCAGUCCUUGGCAAAAGGUCAGCCGUCACUGGGGAGGGGCAGAUAAUCGCACUACCUGCUACAAUCUACCGCCGCCGGGAGAGGCAGACCCCCAGUCAUGCUCGGAAUCCUGCGCUGAUAGAAAGGAUAGGGACAGGAAAAGGUCUUGCCAGUUACAAGGGGGGGUUCAGCUGCUGUGAGGGGAGAGGGCAGGAACGUGGAGAAAGUCCCACCCUCGAAGCUCAGGCCCCCAGAGCCUGCAUAAGACUGAGGCUGGGCUAGGAGCACCAAGAAAAUCAGCCUGCCCCCGUCAUGAGCAACAGCACGCUACUUAAGGGGGAGGAGCAGAGGCGUAGAGAGAGACAGCCCCCAGCCCGCCGGCCAUGGCCCGGGUGUGCUGAAAGCUGGAGGUGGAACAGGAACACUGAGAAGAGCCCUCCAGCAUUCCAGGCCUCACACUGAAGCAAGAUCUCAGCAGUGUGAGGAGUUUGAAGUCUGUAGUAUCAUAACGACUAUAGCAACCACAAACCCAAACUUAGCUUAACUACCCCACACCGCAAUGGCCUGACAGAUGAAGAGGCAUGCCCGUUAUCAGGAGUAAAUACUAUUUAUCUACAUCAGGCUCUAUUACUCCUUUACAUAUAAUGUCUGGCAUCCAGUCAAACUUAAAAGGGAAAAAAGCAAGAAAAGACCCAUUUCCAAGAAAUGAAGUAGUAAACAGAACCAGACUGAGAGAUGGCCCAGAAGUUGAAACUAUCAGAAAGUGACUUGAAAACACUAUGAUUAAUCUAAUGAAAGAUCUAGGGGGAAAUGUGGACAAUAUGCAUGAACAGAUAGUGUAUCUCGGCAGGGAGAUGGAAACUGUAAAAAAAGAAAAUUGAUUCGCUAAAAUGAAAAACAUGCUAUCACUCAUGAAUUCCUUCAAAUGGCUUAUCAACAGACUAGACACAGAGGAAAAAAUUAGUGAACUUGAAAAAAAAAAGAAUUAGUGGGGCCAGCCCAGUGGCGCAAUGGUUAAGUUUGCACAUUCUGCUUCAGGGGCCGGGGUUUUGCCGGUUCUGAUCCUGGUUGCAGACCUGCGCACUGCAUGUCAAGCCAUGCUGUGGCAGGCAUCCCACAUAUAAAGUAGAGAAAGAUGGGCAUGGAUGUUAGCUCAGAGCCAAUCUUCCUCAGCAAAAAGAGGAGAAUUGGCAGCAGAUGUUAGCUGAGGGCUAAUCUUCCUCAAAAAAAAGAAUUAGUGAACUUGAAUAUAGGCCAAUAAAUUUUUUUUUUAAAUAAAAUCUUGAAUUUCAAAUGGUAACAAGCCCCCCUCAGGAGAGAUGGGAGAGAGAAAAAAGAGUGGAGAAAAAGUGGAGAAAAAUACAGCAGAGCAUCCAAGAGCUGUGGGACAAUAUGAAAAGGUAUAAUAUAUAUGUAAUUGAAAUCACAGAAGGAGAAUGGGGAGAGGGAAAACGUCAGAAGAAAUAUCUGAAAAG
rnacentral:lncRNA from 1 species